CGCGGGAUGGAGCAGUCUGGUAGCUCGUCGGGCUCAUAACCCGAAGGUCGUAGGUUCAAAUCCUGCUCCCGCAAC
rnacentral:tRNA from 2 species